rnacentral:rRNA from 1 species
GAAACCGAACGCCUACAAUCAGUUGGAGGGCCCUUGAGGCCUGACAGCGUACCUUUUGUAUAAUGGGUCAUCGACUUGGUCUCACGAGCAAGCUUAAACCGUUAGGUGUAGGCGCAGCGAAAGCGAGUCUUAAUAGGGCGCAUGAGUUCGUGGGAUCAGACCCGAAACCGAGUGAUCUAGGCAUGGCCAGGUUGAAGGUGCAGUAACAUGCACUGGAGGACCGAACCCACAUCUGUUGAAAAAGAUCGGGAUGAGCUGUGCCUAGGGGUGAAAGGCCAAUCAAACUCGGAGAUAGCUGG